rnacentral:rRNA from 11 species
UGUAUAAUGGGUCAGCGACUUAUGUUCAGUGGCGAGGUUAACCGUUUAGGGGAGCCGUAGGGAAACCGAGUCUGAAUAGGGCGAUUUAGUCGCUGGGCAUAGACCCGAAACCGGGCGAUCUAUCCAUGAGCAGGUUGAAGGUGCCGUAACAGGCACUGGAGGACCGAACCCACUGUCGUUGAAAAGCCAGGGGAUGACUUGUGGAUAGGGGUGAAAGGCUAAUCAAACUCGGUGAUAGCUGGUUCUCCCCGAAAGCUAUUUAGGUAGCGCCUCGGACGAAUACCACAGGGGGUAGAGCACUGUUUCGGCUAGGGGGUCAUCCCGACUUACCAAACCGAUGCAAACUCCGAAUACCUACAAGUGCCGAGCAUGGGAGACACACGGCGGGUGCUAACGUC